GCCUGCGUGGUGUAGUGGUAUCACAUUCCACUCUUAACAGACCUAGUACUAGCCGACUGAUGGCAGGAACGGCUCUGGCUUAGAUCUGGGAAGAUCGCUGGUUCAACUCCAGCCGCAGGCA
rfam:Pyronema omphalodes CBS 100304, CBS100304, WGS project CATG01000000 data, contig: Pcon_v1_contig1208